rnacentral:rRNA from 1 species
CGUGGGUGAUCUGCCUUGCACUUCGGGAUAAGCUUGGGAAACUGGGUCUAAUACCGGAUAGGACAGCUGUUUAGUGUCAGUUGUGGAAAGUUUUUCGGUGCAAGAUGAGCUCGCGGCCUAUCAGCUUGUUGGUGGGGUAAUGGCCUACCAAGGCGUCGACGGGUAGCCGGCCUGAGAGGGUGUACGGCCACAUUGGGACUGAGAUACGGCCCAG